CUUAUUUUGAUUAUUUAAAUAGUUGCAGUGUGGACUCUGCCUGAGACGAUUCCCCAUAACGCCGGCUAUGUAGACUGCUUGUGAAAAUGGAAUCCAAAUGCUCACAAGAAAUGACAAAAGCAGUAUGAAGAUUAACACAACGAAAUUGUGCCAGGAAAGUUUGAAGUAGCUAUGGGAAUGAUCAACAUUGAACUUGCUGAGGCUCUCUUCCUGAAAGUGACUUGACCAGAUAUUUGGCUACCCAGUAUGAGGUACAAACUAAUCAUUUGUUGUACAACUUAUUGUGUAUGAG